rnacentral:pre_miRNA from 12 species
UGGAGCGGGGGGGCAGGAGGGGCUCAGGGAGGUAGUGUGUGUAGCCCCUGGCCCUCUCUGCCCUUCCGUCCCUGUCCCCGGACA